rnacentral:rRNA from 1 species
GACGAACGCUGGCGGCGUGCUUAACACAUGCAAGUCGAACGGAAAGGCCCUGCUUUUGUGGGGUGCUCGAGUGGCGAACGGGUGAGUAACACGUGAGUAACCUGCCCUUGACUUUGGGAUAACUUCAGGAAACUGGGGCUAAUACCGGAUAGGAGCUCCUGCUGCAUGGUGGGGGUUGGAAAGUUUCGGCGGUUGGGGAUGGACUCGCGGCUUAUCAGCUUGUUGGUGGGGUAGUGGCUUACCAAGGCUUUGACGGGUAGCCGGCCUGAGAGGGUGACCGGCCACAUUGGGACUGAGAGACGGACCAGACGCCUACGGGAGGCAGCAGUGGGGAAUAUGGCACAAUGGGCGGAAGUCUGAUGCAGCAACGCCGCGUGCGGGAUGACGGCCUUCGGGUUGUAAACCGCUUUCGCCUGUGACGAAGCGUGAGUGACGGUAAUGGGUAAAGAAGCACCGGCUAACUACGCG